rnacentral:rRNA from 1 species
UACGGAGGGUGCGAGCGCUGUCCGGAAUCAUUGGGCGUAAAGGGCGCGUAGGUGGCCCGGUCAGUUCGUGGUGAAAGCGCGGGGCUCAACCCUGCGUCGGCCAUGAAUACUGCCGCGGCUGGAGCACUGUAGAGGCAGGCGGAAUUCCGGGUGUAGCGGUGGAAUGCGUAGAGAUCCGGAAGAACACCGGUGGCGAAGGCGGCCUGCUGGGCAGUUGCUGACACUGAGGCGCGACAGCGUGGGGAGCAAACAGG